rnacentral:sRNA from 1 species
CUAUGCUUCUCUCUCCUUCCCAUUACUGUUCUCUCUCCUCCUUUUGGACCUGCUGCUGCUUUCCUCAAACUAAGUCUUGGACCCUCUACUCUCAACCUGGGUCAGUUGUAGUUCUCUUCCAUUUCCUGACCUUCCCACCUAGACCCCCACUACCCACACUCCCCUCAGACCCUCCCCCACCCACACUCCCCUCAGACCCCCUCCCUGGCUCUGGCUCAGCUCUGCCUUGCUCCUAGCCUGCCAGUGCAGCCAUGAGGGGGCACUCAGCAGUCUCUGUGAAAAGACCAGUGGGCAAUGUCCCUGUCGAACUGGUGCCUUUGGGCUUCGCUGUGACCGCUGCCAGCGUGGCCAGUGGGGAUUCCCUAGCUGCCGGCCAUGUGUCUGCAAUGGGCAUGCAGAUGAGUGCAACACCCACACAGGCGCUUGCCUGGGCUGCCGUGAUCACACAGGGGGUGCAUUGCUGGUUUCCAUGGGGACCCACGGCUGCCAUAUGGGGGCCAGUGCCGGCCCUGUCCCUGUCCUGAAGGCCCUGGGAGCCAACGGCACUUUGCUACUUCUUGCCACCGGGAUGAAUAUUCCCAGCAGAUUGUGUGCCACUGCCGGGCAGGCUACACGGGUGAGUGGAUGGGGGCAGGCAUGGGAUCAGGGUGAGUUGACUGGGCUGAGCACUCACAGCUUCCUCUUGACCGUGGGCAGGGCUGCGAUGUGAAGCUUGUGCCCCUGGGCACUUUGGGGACCCAUCAAGGCCAGGUGGCCGGUGCCAACUGUGUGAGUGCAGUGGGAACAUUGACCCAAUGGAUCCUGAUGCCUG